UGUUGGAGAUUUGUGCGUGUAUGGAUGGCAGAAGUUUUUCUGAAGGGAAGCGUUUUUCUUGGGAAGUUCUCCUAAGCCGAUUUGGGGAGCAUAAAGUUUUCUUAACACAACCGACUGGUCUGUGUCAUCAACCCUCACCACAUUCUCGGAUACAGGCUGCGCAGGAGGUGCGGCAAUUGGAGGUCCCACCGAGAUCAUGAAAGCGAGAUGAAAUAUGAGCACUCUGCCUCCUGACUGCUCCCAGGUCAGCCUCACUAAUUCCUGCUGAAGUGACUAAGGAUAUGAAAGCACUGCCUACUGGACUCAAGAAAAUGCUCCCAAGAGUGAGAAGAUCCAGAUGAUCUCCAUGCUGUUGGGGAACAUGUACAUUUAAAAACAGAGAACAACUGCAGCUGUUCUACCUCAGGGUGGUUGUAGUCAAUAAAGAGAUACACACAAAUUCUCUAGCUUUCAACUGUCA